GGACCUGANUGCUAUCGGAUUGAUACUAAGCCAUGCGAGUCAUUGUAGCAAUACAAGGCAUACGGCUCAGUAACGCGUAGUCAACCUAACCUAUGGACGGGAAUAACCUCGGGAAACUGAGAAUAAUGCCCGAUAGAACAUUAUGCCUGGAAUGGUUUAUGUUCCAAAUGAUUUAUCGCCGUAGGAUGGGACUGCGGCCUAUCAGUUUGUUGGUGAGGUAAUGGCCCACCAAGACUAUUACAGGUACGGGCUCUGAGAGGAGUAGCCCGGAGAUGGGUACUGAGACACGGACCCAGGCCCUAUGGGGCGCAGCAGGCGAGAAAACUUUGCAAUGUGCGAAAGCACGACAAGGUUAAUCCGAGUGGUUUCUGCUAAAGAAACCUUUUGUCAGUCCUAGAAACACUGAUGAAUAAGGGGUGGGCAAGUUCUGGUGU
rnacentral:rRNA from 1 species